GACGAACGCUGGCGGCGUGCUUAACACAUGCAAGUCGAGCGGUAAGGCCCUUUCGGGGGUACACGAGCGGCGAACGGGUGAGUAACACGUGGGUGACCUGCCCUCAGCUCUGGGAUAAGCCUGGGAAACUGGGUCUAAUACUGGAUAUGACUCCACGGUGCAUGUCGUGGGGUGGAAAGCCUUGUGCGGCUGAGGAUGGGCCCGCGGCCUAUCAGCUUGUUGGUGGGGNGAUGGCCUACCAAGGCGACGACGGGUAGCCGGCCUGAGAGGGCGACCGGCCACACUGGGACUGAGACACGGCCCAGACUCCUACGGGAGGCAGCAGUGGGGAAUCUUGCGCAAUGGGCGAAAGCCUGACGCAGCGACGCCGCGUGAGGGAUGACGGCCUGGUGUAACUCUU
rnacentral:rRNA from 1 species